rnacentral:rRNA from 1 species
CCUACGGGGGGCAGCAGUCGAGAAUCAUUCACAAUGGGGGAAACCCUGAUGGUGCGACGCCGCGUGGAGGAAUGAAGGUCUUCGGAUUGUAAACCCCUGUCAUGUGGGAGCAAAUUAAAAAGAUAGUACCACAAGAGGAAGAGACGGCUAACUCUGUGCCAGCAGCCGCGGUAAUACAGAGGUCUCAAGCGUUGUUCGGAAUCACUGGUCGUAAGGCGUGCGUAGGCUGUUUCGUAAGUCGUGUGUGAAAGGCGCGGGCUCAACCCGCGGACGGCACAUGAUACUGCGAGACUAGAGUAAUGGAGGGGGAACCGGAAUUCUCGGUGUAGCAGUGAAAUGCGUAGAUAUCGAGAGGAACACUCGUGGCGAAGGCGGGUUCCUGGACAUUAACUGACGCUGAGGCACGAAGGCCAGGGGAGCGAAAGGGAUUAGAUACCCGAGUAGUC